rnacentral:lncRNA from 1 species
UUUUAAUGCUGAGUAUUAUGCCAUUGUGUACAAAUACCACAGUUUUUUUUAUCCAUUCAUCUAUUAAAAGGCAUCUAGGUUGGUUUCACAGUUUAGUUAUUGGAAAUUCUGCUGCUAUAAGUGUUAAUGUGGCUGCGUCACUAUAGUAUAUUUAUUUUUAAGUCCUUUGGGAAUAGAACAAGGAAUGGGAUAGCUGGGUCAAAUGGUGGUUCCAUUCCAAGUUUUCUAAGGAAUCUCCAUACUGCUUUCCAGAUUGGUUGCACCAAUGUGCAGUCUGACAAGCAAUGUGUGAGUGUGCCUUUUCCCCCACAUCCUCAUCAACACUUACUGUUGCUUGUAUUCUUGAUAACUGCCAUUCUGACUAGAGUGAGAUGAAAUCUUUGAGUAUUUUUGAUUUGCAUUUCUCUAAUUACUAGAGACAUUGAACAUUUUUUCAUAUAUUUGUUGAUCGAUUCUAUAUCUUCCUCUGAGAAGUAUCUGUUCAGAUCCUUAGACCAUUUAUUGAUUAGAUUUUUGUUAUUUUGUUGUUAAUUUUUUUGAGUUCUUUACAUACCCUGGAUAUUAGUGCCCUAACUGACUUUGCUCCCAAAAUGUAGGCUUUCUCUUCACCUCAUUGUUUCUUUUGCUAAGAAGAAGCUUUUUAAUUUGAAUCCACCCCAUUAUUAAAACUGAAUCAUGAGGACAUACACAAUUUAAACAGAUCAAUUUAAAGCAAGGAAAUAGAAGAUGCUACCAAAAGCCUACCAAUCAAGCAAAGUCUGGGACCAGAUAGAUUCUCAGCCAAGUUUUACAAGACCUACAAAUAAGAAUUAACACCAAUACUCCUCAAAUUAUUCCAUGAAAUAGAAAAGGAGAGGACCCUUCCAAACUCAUUCUAUGAGGCUAGUAUCAUUGUGAUACCAAAACUAGACAGAGACACAUCAAGGAAAUAAAAUUUCAGACCACUAUCCCUGAUGAACAUAGAUGCAAAAAGUCUCAAUAAAAUUUUGGCAAAUCGCAUACAAAAAAAUAUUUUAAAAAAUAGUGCACCGUGAUCAAGUAGAGUUCAUUCCAGGGAUGCAAGUUUGGUUCAACAUAUGGAAAUCAAUAAAGGUAAUUCAUCACAUCAGUAGAUUUAAAGAUACAAUCAUAUGAUAUAAUUGAUGCAGAGAAAGCAUUUGACAAAAUACAGCACCCUUUCAUGUUCAAAACACUAAAAAAACUAGGGAUAGUAGGAACAUACCUCAACAUUUUAAAAGCUAUCUAUGCUAAGCCCCAGGCCAACAUCAUUCUAAAUGAAUAAAAUUUGGAACAACACAGGGCUGCCCUCUUUCACAACUUCUAUUCAACAUAGUCCAUGAAACUGUAGCCAGAGCAAUUAGAAAGAUGAAAGAAAUUAAAGGGAUACUAAUAGGAGAAGAAGAACGCAAACAAUCAUUAUUUGCCAACAACAUGAUUCUAUACUUAGAGGAUCCAAAAAAUUCCACCAGAUAACUUCUAGAAUUAAUAAGUGAAUUCAGCAAAGUAGCAGGUUAUAAAAUCAAUACCCAUAAAUCAAAUGCAUUUCUAUACAUCAGUGAUGAAUCCUCUGAAAGAGAAAUUAGGAAAACUACCCCAUUCACAAUAGCCUCAAAAAAAUAAUAAUAACUGGGAAUCAAUUUAACAAAAGAGGUGAAAGACCUCUACAAUGAAAACUACAGAACACUAAAGAAAGAAAUUGAAGAAGACCUUAGAAAAUGGAAAGAUCUUCCAUGCUCUUGAAUAGUCAGAAUCAAUAUUGUCAAAAUGGCCAUACUACCCAAAGCACUAUACAGAGUCAAUGAGAUUCCAAUUAAAAUCCCAGUGUCAUUUAUUUUUAAAAAAAUAUUUUUAAUUGUUGAUAUACCUUUAUUUUUUAUUUAUUUAUAUGUGGUGCUGAGGAUCAAACCCAGUGCCUCACACAUGCGAGGCAAGUGCUCUGCCACUGAGCCAUGAUCCCAGCCCCCCAAUGUCAUUUCUCACAGAAAUAAAAAAAAAAAAAAUCAUGAAAUUCAUUUGGAAAAAUAAAGAAACCCAGAAUAGCCAAAGCAAUCUUUAGCAAGAAGAGUGAAACAGGAGGCAUCACAAUACCAGAACUUAAACUAUACUACAAAGCUAUAGUAACAAAUGACAUGGUAUUGGCACCAAAAUAGACGUGUAGACCAAUGGUACAGAAUAGAAGACAUAGAGACAAACCCACAUAAAUACAGUUAUCUCAUACUGAACAAAGGAGCCAAAAAACAUACAUUGGAGAAAAGAUAACCUCCUCAACAAAUGCUGCUGGGAAAAAUGGAAAUCCAUAUGCAGCAAAAUGAAAUUAAACCCCAUCUCUCACCUUGCACAAAACUCAACUCAAAGUGGAUCAAGGACCUAGGAAUUAGACUAGAGACCCUGUGCCUAAUAGAAGAAAAAGUAGGCCCAAAUCUUCAUUGUGUCAGAUUAGGCCCUGACUUCCUUAACAAGACUCCUAAAGUGUAAGAAAUAAAAUCAAUAAUCAAUAAAUGGGAACAGCAUUUAUGAGGGGAGAAAAGGAGAUACAAUGGGACAAAAGGCAAGAAAUCCCUGUGCUGGGUAGAGGUUGCCUACUUCUACGAGUGUCAUGUCUUUUAGCCUCUGUUCCCUCUUCAUCACACCAAAGGGAACCUCCUGGGACCAGCAUCUGGAUUUCCUUUUCCAAAGAGGAGAGGGUAUUACAGAGGGCUCUAUUUGUGUGUGUGUGUGUGUGUUUGUGUGUGUGUGUGUGUCUUGCUGGGGAUUGAACCCAGGGCCUUGUGCAUGAAAGGCAAGCACUCUACCAACUGAGCUAUAUCCCCAGCCUGAGGGCUGUAUAUAGAAUUUAGAAUAAUAUGUAAAAAAGAAA